UACGAAGGGUGCAAGCGUUACUCGGAAUUACUGGGCGUAAAGCGUGCGUAGGUGGUGAGUUAAGUCUGUCGUGAAAGCCCCGGGCUCAACCUGGGAAUGGCGUUGAAGACUGAUAGUCUAGAGUUUAACAGAGGGCUGCGGAAUUUCCGGUGCAGCAGUGAAAUGCGUAGAGAUCGGAAAGAACACCAGUGGCGAAGGCGGCAGCCUGGGUUGAAACUGACACUGAGGUGCGAAAGCGUGGGGAGCAAACAGG
rnacentral:rRNA from 1 species